rnacentral:tRNA from 1 species
GGUAGAAUGGCUGAGUGUUAAGCGGUGGAUUGUAAUCCCAUGAACAGAGGUUCAAACCCUCUUUCUACCA